UACGUAGGGGGCGAGCGUUGUUCGGAUUUACUGGGCGUAAAGGGCGCGCAGGCGGUUCUGUUUGUCGGGUGUGAAAGCCCCGGGCUCAACCCGGGAACUGCAGUUGAAACCGCUUGUCUUGAAUACCUGAGAGGGUGGGGGAAUACCUGGUGGAGAAGUGAAAUUCGUAGAGAUCAGGUGGAACACCGGAGGCGAAGGCGCCUGCCUGGCAGUGUAUUGACGCUGAGGUGCGAAAGUGCGGGGAGCAAACAGG
rnacentral:rRNA from 1 species